GUACAACUUUGUGCGGUGGAUCACUCGGCUCGUGUGUCGAUGAAGAGCGCAGCAAACUGUGUGAAUUAAUGUGAAAUGUAGCUCGCUUGGAACAUCGACCUCUUGAACGCAAAUAGCGGCCGUAGGCUCGCCUACGGCCACGCCUGUCCGAGGGUCG
rnacentral:rRNA from 1 species